rnacentral:rRNA from 1 species
UACGUAGGGUGCGAGCGUUGUCCGGAAUCAUUGGGCGUAAAGAGCGUGUAGGCGGCCCGGUAAGUCCGCUGUGAAAGUCCAGGGCUCAACCCUGGGAUGCCGGUGGAUACUGUCGGGCUCGAGUCCGGAAGAGGCGAGUGGAAUUCCUGGUGUAGCGGUGAAAUGCGCAGAUAUCAGGAGGAACACCAAUGGCGAAGGCAGCUCGCUGGGACGUGACUGACGCUGAGACGCGAAAGCGUGGGGAGCAAACAGG